rnacentral:sRNA from 1 species
UAACCUACAUCUAAACCUAACCCUAUACC